rnacentral:rRNA from 1 species
CAGCCGCCGCGGGAAUACGUAGGUGGCAAGCGUUGUCCGGAAUUAUUGGGCGUAAAGGGCUCGCGGGCGGUUUCUUAAGUCUGAUGUGAAAGCCCCCGGCUCAACCGGGGAGGGUCAUUGGAAACUGGGAAACUUGAGUGCAGAAGAGGAGAGUGGAAUUCCACGUGUAGCGGUGAAAUGCGUAGAAAUGUGGAGGAACACCAGUGGCGAAGGCGACUCUCUGGUCUGUAACUGACGCUGAGGAGCGAAAGCGUGGGGAGCGAACAGGAUUAGAUACCCCUGUAGUCCCUGUCUCUUAUAC